AUUGAACGCUGGCGGCAGGCCUAACACAUGCAAGUCGAGCGGAUGAAGGGAGCUUGCUCCUGGAUUCAGCGGCGGACGGGUGAGUAAUGCCUAGGAAUCUGCCUGGUAGUGGGGGAUAACGUCCGGAAACGGGCGCUAAUACCGCAUACGUCCUGAGGGAGAAAGUGGGAGAUCUUCGGACCUCACGCUAUCAGAUGAGCCUAGGUCGGAUUAGCUAGUUGGUGGGGUAAAGGCCUACCAAGGCGACGAUCCGUAACUGGUCUGAGAGGAUGAUCAGUCACACUGGAACUGAGACACGGUCCAGACUCCUACGGGAGGCAGCAGUGGGGGAUAUUGGACAAUGGGCGAAAGCCUGAUCCAGCCAUGCCGCGUGUGUGAAGAAGGUCUUCGGAUUGUAAAGCACUUUAAGUUGGGAGGAAGGGCAGUAAGUUAAUACCUUGCUGUUUUGACGUUACCAACAGAAUAAGCACCGGCUAACUUCGUG
rnacentral:rRNA from 1 species